rnacentral:rRNA from 1 species
UCCAGACUCCUACGGGAGGCAGCGGUGGGGAAUAUUGCACAAUGGGGGAAACCCUGAUGCAGCGACGCCGCGUGAGUGAAGAAGUAUUUCGGUAUGUAAAGCUCUAUCAGCAGGGAAGAUAAUGACGGUACCUGACUAAGAAGCCCCGGCUAACUACGUGCCAGCAGCCGCGGUAAUACGUAGGGGGCAAGCGUUAUCCGGAUUUACUGGGUGUAAAGGGUACGUAGGUGGCAGGGCAAGUCAGAUGUGAAAGCCCGGGGCUCAACCCCGGUACUGCAUUUGAAACUGUCCAGCUGGAGUGCAGGAGAGGUAAGCGGAAUUCCUAGUGUAGCGGUGAAAUGCGUAGAUAUUAGGAGGAACACCAGUGGCGAAGGCGGCUUACUGGACUGUAACUGACACUGAGGCACGAAAGCGUGGGGAGCAAACAGGAUUAGAUACCCCCGUA